rnacentral:lncRNA from 1 species
GCCCAGCCACCGCCUGCCAGCCCCGGCCCGCGACCGCGGAGGGGCCAAGGACCUGCCUGUGCUGGCCGUGGGGCUGGGUGAAGAGCAGGCGAGGGGCUCGGCCCCGGUGGCCGGCCCCAAGCUGUACCCCAAGCUGUACACAGAUGUGCACACACACUCGCACACGCACUCCCACUCCCACAUGGAGGGCAAGGUGCACCAGCACCAGCACAUCCACUACCAGUGCUAGACAGCGUGGGUGCAGGGACAGGCCAGCGGGCGGACGGGGGAGCAGCAGCCAGCACCCUGUGCGAGACACACACGGAUCAGGCCAGGUACACAGACACUGCCAGAUGGACACACAGAACACCAGACACGGACUCAACACACACCACACAGACAUGUUGCACACGCACGUGGACCGAGAUGCCCUUGGAAAGGCUUGGGCUGUUCAGCUUUGCAGCGACAUAGUCAUAAGCCCCAGCUUCCACCUGCAGCACCUGAGGGCUCCCGUUGGCCCUGUGCGACUGCCGAGCCUGGACAGACGACUUGGGCUGCUCCCCUCUUCUCCCCCGGUCACCUGGACUCUCGUAGUGACCCAGCCCCUCCAUGAGCUGAGCUGACUCACUGCCUGCCCAACCCAGGUAGGCCUGGACCUUAGGGGGCAGGGUGGGCAGAGCUGGGGCACUAGGCAGGUGGCUCCUCUGGCCUCUGGCCUCCUGGAUCCUCCCAGGCUGGGCUCUGGGCUCUCGUCUGCUCUCCCACCUGGCUGAGGGCCCCAGUGCUCAUGCAGGUAGAACUGUCACCCGAGGCCCCAGACUCCUCCUCCAGCACACCCUGACAUCCAGGCCCUCCUGGUGUCUAGGCCUGAGCAGCCAGUGCCUGUGCUCAGCAGAAUUUGAAAUCACAUUUCUCAGUGUGUCUGCGAUGGAGAAAAGAUAUUUCCUGAAGACGGAUUCCUGAGGUUUCUAAAGGUCCGUGACUCUAAUUACCAAAUUCUUUCCACCCUCAAGUGUCUGCAGCUGCACACUUCCGGUCCCUCGAGGAGAGUGUGCCUCUGGCUGGAGAUGCAACAGCCCCAAGGGUCCCAAGAGCCAGGCCUCACCAGCGGGGCAGGGACGCCGCAGCCCAGCCUGGCACCGUACCGCUGAGUGGGGCCGGGCCUCUGUGAUCAGCUGGAUGCCCUGAGUGUGCUCAAGUCUGCGGAGAGACCCAGGGCCCACAGUGCUUCCAAGGCUGUUUUCCUAAGAAUGGUGAUGGUGACUGGAGCACACUGUGCUUGGGAAAAGGAGGAACUGUGGCCAGCCCUGUCUCGCGCCCAGGUUCUCAGGGUGUCUGCAGCUGACCCUGGACUCACUGGGGCUCUCUGGGGUUUGCCCGCAUCAUGCCCCCCUGAGCAUGCUGGACCUGCUGCCCCAUCCCAGGCUCGGUGCCGCACCCAGGACGCAGAACUCAGCCACGGCCUCCAGUCCCCAUGAGCCUGUGGCUGGAGCAGUGGCUGCAUUGCAUGAACCUGAUCCCUCCCCAGGUGCUGAGCAGGCUCUGGGCUCCACCUGUGUUCAGGGGGCCUGGUCCUCCUCGAAGCCAUGCCUGUGGGGCCCCCAACAAUCCUGGCCUUGGGGUCACAUGGGCUCUGUUCACCUCCUGGGUGGACACUGUGGGGCAGGGCCCAGCAUCAAGCCCAGGACCCAGAGCGCACCCUCUGCAGCAGCCGUGGGCUGCCUCUUGAUGGCACCGGGGAGCAGAGCAGACCAUGAGAACCCCAUCCCUUCCACCUCCCCAAGUUGCUGCUUCCAGUGAAAUACAUUAGGUAAUAAAUAAGGUUUUUUGCUUUUUUUUUUGGUACUGGGGAUUGAACUCAGGUCCUACUUGCGCAGGGUCCUCCUCGAAGCCAUGCCUGUGGGGCCCCCAACAAUCCUGGCCUUGGGGUCACAUGGGCUCUGUUCACCUCCUGGGUGGACACUGUGGGGCAGGGCCCAGCAUCAAGCCCAGGACCCAGAGCGCACCCUCUGCAGCAGCCGUGGGCUGCCUCUUGAUGGCACCGGGGAGCAGAGCAGACCAUGAGAACCCCAUCCCUUCCACCUCCCCAAGUUGCUGCUUCCAGUGAAAUACAUUAGGUAAUAAAUAAGGUUUUUUGCUUUUUUUUUUGGUACUGGGGAUUGAACUCAGGUCCUUGCACUUGCGCAGCAGGCGGAGAAACCACUGAGCUAAAUCCCCGGCCCUAAAUAAGG